ACCUGACCAAUGCUUCACCUAGUCCUGUGUCCCACUUACUGGAACAGACCUCUGGUCCAUCUAGUCCAAUGACCCAUGGCUAAUACCAGAUGCUUCAGAGACAUGUGUGACCCCCACCCCAUCCAUAAAGAAGCUGCUAGUGCCAUCUGUUAUCAUAGCGGCAGGCCUGACACCAAGCAAUGACCAAGACAAGCCCUGGAGCCUGUGGAUUGAUAGCUUGUGUGUUUACCAUAGCUGGUGUUAUUGCAUGUUGUACUCUGAGCUACAUGUGUGCUUAAUUCAUUUUGGAUUUACCCAUGGUGCUAGGUCAAUCCCCUCACUCUAUAGAGCAAUUACAUAGGGCUAAAAAAAUAAAAUGAGAUGGGGUGUGUGUGUGUGUGGGGGGAAUAUUGCAGUGACUCACUCCUUGUGUCCUCACUGGGCUGAGAUGUAUUAUAACAUGAACACUCAUUGGGAGUCCUGUGACAGGAGAAAGGAAGAAGUAACAACUCUCUCAAGCCAUUCCUGAAGGGAGUAAGGAGGUUGCAGGGGGGGGAGGGACUCGUCCCUAGUACAUGUGGUUUUUGCAACUCUUCUGCCUCGCUCUGUAACUAGAGUAGUUCUUCGGAGAUGGGACCAGGCUCAUGGUGUUGGAGGUUGGGCUCAAUAUCACCUCCCCCAAAGUGGCCAUCUUUCCCCCAUCAAAGCAGGAGAUCAAAGAGAAGGGGAAGGCCACUCUAGUGUGCCUGGCCAGAGAUUUCUACCCCGACCACAUCAAGAUGGUCUGGCAGGUGAAUGAUGCUGACAGGGAAGAUGGGGUGAGGACAGAUGAGUUUUCCACUUGGGAUAACACAUCAAAAUCAUACUCGCUGACCAGCCGCCUGAGGAUCUCAACCCAAGAGUGGUUCAACUCCAAGAACAGUUUCCGGUGUGCUGUGAAGUUUCACCUGGAUGAGAUCCAGUAUGAAGUGAUCAGAGGUGGAGAUGGAUGUGGCAUCACUGAAGAAUCCUACAUGCGAUCUGGCAACUCUACAAAGCUCACCUACCUGGUGCUCUUGUGGAAAGCCAUGCUCUAUGCCUUGCUGGUGAGUGCUCUGGUGUGGAGAGUCAAGGCUAGUGACAAGCUGAGCAGAGAAUAGAUUGGAACUCAUCUCCAGCACCUCAGGAGGAGCACAGCUAAAUUUUUCUACUGCCCCAAAUCCUCCAGGGAGAAGGAUUUGCUUCUGCCUGCACUCUGCCAAUAUCCAUUCCGUGGAGGGGUUUGUGGGUAGAGUAGUUGCUCUUUAUCCAUCUCUUCAGUAGUCACUGAUGGCUCCCCCUACCACAGAGCUUUAAAAGCUAGAUAACUACUCAUAGUUAGGGACUGAGGGGUCUGCACUCUGAAGCCAUAAUAAAGUCUUCGUUUCUUUUCAUUUGAAAAA